AUAAAAUGUUAUUAAUGAGAGAGUGCAACAAAAAUCCAUCUUCCAAACCAUGUCUUUACCCAAAUACACUUUGAUAAAUCUAUAAUAAAAAAUGAUGCGUUUUGACGUCAUAGCAUAUGUAUGGUGUGGGAGUAGCAUGAAGCUGAAAGUUUGUUGUCACAAUGAACGAGAAAAAUUGACCAUGGAUCGUUAAAAACGGCAAUCCUCCAGGGAAUCACCGGUUGUAAAAAAACAAAGAAACCCCAAAAAGAGCAGAGUCUACAAGCAAAAAGGGAAAGCGACUAGAGUCCGUAAUAAAACCCGAAUCAACAUUGGCGACAACUGAAAGGAUUUAAAAGCGACCCAGAGAUGGCUUAUUUCUUACUCAACAGCUCUGAAAAGAUGUCCUGUAUUCAUGUGUACACCGAUGCCUCGAACCACAUUCACAGAGGAGCAGAGCCGAACCACAACCAAAACAAUGUUGUUCCGCAAGACGCAUGCAGUUUUAUUUUUUAACCGCUAGAAGGCCAAAAGUUACGUAGUGUAGCUUUAAAUUAUCAUUACUAAUAAGAAAUCAAACCACACUAGUGUUACCACCUAGUUAAUUCUCCAUUGUCUUUUUUUUUUUUCAAACAGUGAAGCGACCUGGCCAGUGUGCUGUCCUUGUAAGAUGACUCUUACCAGUAUUUACUUCACCACGCAACUGCUCUAUUUGAGCAAUUAAGAUGAGUUUUCUGGAGAUUUUUGUCGACCAAAACUUACCUAUUUUCACUUUUUUUUUGCUCCAUUAGGUCACAAAGGAAAAAGUACUACCAAAAACCCACCUAUGACAUUCUUAGAAAGAGCCUUGUGUCUAUGAGAGAACACUGCCUGGCCCAUGGUAUUACCAGAUUAUCCAUGCCCUGUUACCAAUUGGAAAGGAGGCUGCGGAACAUUGGAAUGAAAAAAUACUGUUUCUGCUCAGAAUGAACCGACAUGAAAAACAUUUCGUUUUGGUCUCUGGUUCCAAUAUAGCUGGAUAAUUGCCUUUCUAAAUACUAAUUUAGAAAGAAUUAUCAUAAAACUUUCUUUUAAAUAGAUUUCCUUGUUUUGCUAGGAUUGGCUGUGGACUGGAUAAACUAAAGUGGGAAAACAUGUCUUCCAUUAUUACAAAAGACUUUCAGAACACAAAGGUCUGCAUCACUGUGUAUACGAUCUAGACCAUAGCAGGUCUGAAAUUCACAUUAAUUAUUCUUAAAGAAUGGUCAAAGGGGCACUUUUUAUUCCAAAGGAAUUGCACUUUUUCUGGAAAAUAUGCUGUAAAAUGUAGUGGGUUCCUUAGUCUUCUCAGAAGCAGGUAUAAGCUCAAGAUUCUAAAUAAGGGUUCAAACACUGUCCUAGAAGUAUACACAA